rnacentral:rRNA from 1 species
UACGAAGGGGGCUAGCGUUGCUCGGAAUCACUGGGCGUAAAGGGUGCGUAGGCGGGCAUUUAAGUCAGGGGUGAAAUCCCGAGGCUCAACCUCGGAACUGCCUUUGAUACUGGGGAUCUCGAGUCCGGGAGAGGUGAGUGGAACUGCGAGUGUAGAGGUGAAAUUCGUAGAUAUUCGCAAGAACACCAGUGGCGAAGGCGGCUCACUGGCCCGGUACUGACGCUGAGGUGCGAAAGCGUGGGGAGCAAACAGG